rnacentral:rRNA from 1 species
UGGGGAAUUUUGGACAAUGGGCGAAAGCCUGAUCCAGCAAUGCCGCGUGUGUGAAGAAGGCCUUCGGGUUGUAAAGCACUUUUGUCCGGAAAGAAAUCCUUGGCUCUAAUACAGUCGGGGGAUGACGGUACCGGAAGAAUAAGCACCGGCUAACUNCGUGCCAGCAGCCGCGGUAAUACGUAGGGUGCAAGCGUUAAUCGGAAUUACUGGGCGUAAAGCGUGCGCAGGCGGUUUGCUAAGACCGAUGUGAAAUCCCCGGGCUCAACCUGGGAACUGCAUUGGUGACUGGCAGGCUAGAGUAUGGCAGAGGGGGGUAGAAUUCCACGUGUAGCAGUGAAAUGCGUAGAGAUGUGGAGGAAUACCGAUGGCGAAGGCAGCCCCCUGGGCCAAUACUGACGCUCAUGCACGAAAGCGUGGGGAGCAAACAGGAUUAGAUACCCUGGUAGUCCACGCCCUAAACGAUGUCAACUAGUUGUUGGGGAUUCAUUUCCUUAGUAACGUAGCUAACGCGUGAAGUUGACCGCCUGGGGAGUACGGUCGCAAGAUUAAAACUCAAAUGAAUUGACGGGGUCAUAGCUGUUUCCU